rnacentral:rRNA from 1 species
UACGAGGGGGGCAAGCGUUGUUCGGAAUUACUGGGCGUAAAGGGUGCGUAGGCGGUUCGUUAAGUCUGUCGUGAAAUCCCCGGGCUCAACCUGGGAAUGGCGAUGGAUACUGGCGAGCUAGAGUGUGUCAGAGGAUGGUGGAAUUCCCGGUGUAGCGGUGAAAUGCGUAGAGAUCGGGAGGAACAUCAGUGGCGAAGGCGGCCAUCUGGGACAACACUGACGCUGAAGCACGAAAGCGUGGGGAGCAAACAGG